GAAAAUUCUGGUUAAAUUGAGGAUGAAUUGUCUGAAGCAAAUCACCACUCCCUUUUAGAAGCAUAUGAAGUCUGUAAAUUUACUGUUCUACAACUUGAAAUCUUUGCCUGAUUAUUUGGCUGAUACUGGUUGCUCCUCCUGAUUGGGCUUUCCUUCGUUUCUGUAGUUAAUAUUUUGAUGAAACCUAGAGCAAACAUGUAACGCGUGUAAUUGCACAGAAGAGGAUGAGAGUGAUUUUGCCAGCACUGCACUUCUUGAGUGCUUUUUUCUCAGUGCAAAAUCCCACUCCAUCAAAAAAUUAAGCUGUUAAAAGGCCCUUGUCUGCUGUACAUAAUAUGCAUCUGACAGCUGAUGAACACACCAGCUGGAAUCAAGCAGAUCACUCAGGAUCAGUGGGUACUGGAAAUGGGCACUGCUCCAUGGAGCAUGUCACCAGGCAGAGGCACCUCCAUCCCUUGUCAGGGCAUCCUCCUCCUCACCCCCAAGGGGCAGAGGCAGGAUGGGAGCAGGGAUCCGUCUUGGAGAGGAUGCAAUGAGGAACUGUGGUGAAGACUGGGAACAGGAGGGGACUGUUUCAGUGUCAGGUUGUAUUUAUGGGGCUUUUUAUUAUUGUUAUUAUUAUUUGUUUAUGCUUACAUUUCUCAUGGAAUAACUGUUUUGGUUUUUAAUGAUAUGUGAGGAGUGCUGCCAAAAAUGGAAAACAUUCAUUUGAAUUUUUAAUGAAGUUGAUUGUACCUCUUUUCCAUUUAAUUUCCAUGAAUAUUCUACAGAAUAUAAAGUGAAUAUUCACUGGAGCAAUAAAUGUUAUGCUAAUUCUGUGGGACA
rnacentral:lncRNA from 1 species